rnacentral:rRNA from 1 species
GACGAACCGGUGCGAACGUUGUUCGGAUUCACUGGGCUUAAAGGGCGCGUAGGCGGCUUGCCAAGUCAGGGGUGAAAUCUUUCGGCUCAACCGGAAAAGUGCUUCUGAUACUGGCAGGCUGGAGGGAGGUAGGGGCAGAUGGAACUUCCGGUGGAGCGGUGAAAUGCGUAGAUAUCGGAAGGAACGCCGGUGGCGAAAGCGAUCUGCUGGAUCUCUUCUGACGCUGAUGCGCGAAAGCCAGGGGAGCAAACGGG